AGAAACAGUUAACUGUGACGUUCAGUGGAGGGAGAGGGGACGUUAGAGUGAAGCUACCCCCCCACACAGACACAAUCACACACACGUGUUACACAUCGUCUGCUCAUAACAACUUGUGUGACCGACUCCAACUCUGUCUGAAAGUCGCAGAUGGGACAGGAUAUCAGCUCCCACGUGUCUGUGAGACCUCGCAGUGGAUGGACACAGCUUGUUGGCGCUGCGGACAGCAGAGACUGCUGUGUGGGCUGAAUGACAUGACACCUCGUCCCCUCUCUGAUUACGAGCAAGAUUACACAAAAACUACUGGACAUAUUUCCACGAACCUCGGUGGAAGGAUUGGGUCAGGGAAGAACCAAUCCAAUUUUGGGUUGGAUCAGGGCAAGUAUUUUUAAUCACUUUCUUUAACAUUGUGAGAUGAAUUACUGAUUUCACAGGGAAUAAUUCAUGGACCUUGAUGAAAGGCGUGUUUAGGUCCAGUCAAGUCAAGUCUAAUCUUAGUCUGACCUUAAGUGCUUAAAAAACAGAGAAAAAACUAGAUAGAUAGAUGGAUAAAGGACAGACAUCCAAGUACGAUCAUACUUUAUUGAUCCCGAACGGGUAAAUUCCUGAAGAGGGUCUUCAGCGAUGGUUUAAAUAUUUUAAGGGGACUGUUGGACCCUGGCAGGCGUAUGAGCUCUACGGGCAUUCUAUUGAAAUUUGCAUUUUGAGACGCCCAAAAAAUCCUUAGUGACAAAUACAAAAGAUGACGACAGUAUAAUGCUUCAUCAAGACCCCCUACUACGAUAACCAGCCUCCCACACACUAUCAAAACAAAGAGCCACCUUGUAAUAUUGUUAUUAAUCAUUUUUUCUAAAUGUGUCAGAAGCAAACCAUGCCAUGGCAUUUAUUCAGUCUUGGAAUCAUUUAGUUUUUUCUAAAGCUUCAUAUGAAUACAUUUUAACCACAAUUCAUUGUUAAUUUGAGAAGUAAGAGGGUUUUGUGUACUUUGUGUGGAUAUUAUACUGUACUGAGGAAACCUGAUUCACAAUCCAAUAAUCCAAACACCUCCACUGUCAAAUCAAGAACAGUCUCAGAGAGAAAGUGAAACAAGCUGAAAUACUGUAGUGCACUCUAGAGAUAUUUGAAGCCCUUCUGAAGCAACCAAUCUACUGAGCAGUCUGUGAGAGACCGGGCUCUUAGCAGCCAUCAAUAGCAAUUGCUGAGGAACUCAGUGUGAAUGUUAUUGAAUUAAACUCGAAAAGACCAAAUGCCUCAAACGUCUGCCUCCAUCGAUUGUUAGUCAACAACAGAGAGUUGACAUUUGCACAAAUUUGAUUCAGUCCAUUGUUGCAGACCCAUGGAUUUAUGUUUAUGUUUAUUCAACAGCAUUAAUAAAAGAUUGGGUGAUCACAACAAAUGAUUUUAAUUUUACUUUUCAUCUUCAAUAGUAUCUCUGUCCAUAAAAAGGAACUUCUA